UCAAAGAAGAACAGUCGCAACGAGUCAUCUCUCAUUUCCAAUAGCUCCGGCGAGUCGCGCGAAGCGGCAGGCUCCGAGCAGCUGCUGCCUCCUCCGUUCCCCUCUCCUCUCCCCUUUUCGACUAACGAACUCGGCGCAGCCGCACCCCUCUCUCUCUUUAGCUGCUCCAUAGAAUGUGACUGAAACUGUCUUCGUCUACUCUCAUUUUCAUCUAACUCUGGCGAUUGCAAAGAGAGAAAGAGAUGGGUCUGCUCACUCACAAAGUAGAAAGGAGCGAGAUAGCAUCAGGUGACCAUAUCUACACUUGGAGAACAGUCUUCACCUACUCUCAUCACAGUUAGUCUCAGUCUGCAACCCCUUUUACACCAUUUCAAUUGUUCGUUGGUUUCAGCACACGACGAAUGGUUUGGAUAGCCCUCCUGUUUAAACUAGAACACAUUUUAAAUUUUAUUAAGUAAUUUUGUACAGUAGCAUCUGGGCUUUAGAUUAGAGAGAUGAUUGGGGAAAUACAAACAGACCUCAUUGUAAAUUGUGAAUGAAUUUGACAGAUGCACACAAUUGAAAUCCACAAAAAAGUUGGAGUGUUAUUCCUCUUUGUGGAUGUUGAAAGUGUAUUUCAAAACUAAAAGUUGUUACUACUAUUCUGGUCUUCCUAGCUGCAUCUUGUUUAGUUUCAAACUGUUCCACUCGUCUGGUCGCAUUGCUAAUCAGUGUUGGGCGUUGUGUUAUCAAAUUUCAGCUUGCUUAAAAUGCUACUGUUAGAAUUUUUUUAACUAUCCUUGUUAAUAUGUCUAAUGUGAUUGUAACGUCUAAUGUUAUUGUAAUAAGUUACAGACAAGUGUUAUCUCUUUUCUCUGUGAAUGUGAUUUAAUAUAUCUUUAUAGGUUUAAAUUUGCUAGUUUGAAU
rnacentral:lncRNA from 1 species